UAGCGGAGAAAUUCCAAUCGAACCCGGAGAUAGCUGGUUCUCUCCGAAAUAGCUUUAGGGCUAGCGUCGAGUAUGAGUAGUGGAGGUAGAGCACUGAAUGGGCUAGGGGGCAUAGCGCUUACCGAACCUUAUCAAACUCCGAAUGCCACAUACUUUGAGCUCGGCAGUCAGACUACGAAUGAUAAGAUCCGUGGUCAAAAGGGAAACAGCCCAGAUCGUCAGCUAAGGUCCCAAAGAGUGCGUAAUAGCUCACUAGUCGAGAGAUCUUGCGCCGAAAAUGUAACGGGGCUAAACUUACCACCGAAGCUACGGGCUUGAACAUAGUUCAAGCGGUAGGAGAGCGUCGUAACCGGGCUGAAGUCGUACCGUAAGGAGCGGUGGACUGGUUACGAGUGAGAAUGUUGGCAUGAGUAGCGAGAUGUGGGUGAGAAUCCCACAGGCCGAAAACCUAAGGUUUCCUCAGGAAGGUUCGUCCGCUGAGGGUUAGUCGGGACCUAAGCCGAGGCCGAAAGGCGUAGGUGAUGGACAACUGGUUGAUAUUCCAGUACCACUACCAUCGUUAUUAUCGAUGGCGUGACGCAGGAGGAUAGUGUGUGCUAGCUAUUGGAUGCUAGUCUAAGCGUUUAGGCAGUGAGAGUAGGCAAAUCCGCUCUCAUAAUGCUGAGGCGUGAUGGGGAAGGUUCUACGGAACCGAAGUACAUGAUUCCACGCUGCCAAGAAAAGCGUCUAGAGAGAGAAGUAGUGCCCGUACCGCAAACCGACACAGGUAGGUGAGGAGAGAAUCCUAAGGCCGGCGGAAGAAUUACAGUUAAGGAACUCGGCAAAUUGACCCCGUAAGUUCGCGAGAAGGGGUGCCUACGAGAGUAGGCCGCAGAGAAUAGGCCCAAGCAACUGUUUAGCAAAAACACAGGUCUCUGCUAAAGCGUAAGCUGAUGUAUAGGGGCUGACGCCUGCCCGGUGCUGGAAGGUUAAGGGGAACACUUAGCGCAAGCGAAGGUGUGAACUUAAGCCCCAGUAAACGGCGGCCGUAACUAUAACGGUCCUAAGGUAGCGAAAUUCCUUGUCAGGUAAGUUCUGACCCGCACGAAUGGCGUAAUGACUUGGGCACUGUCUCAACUGUAAAUCCGGCGAAGUUGUAGUGCGAGUGAAGAUGCUCGCUACCCGCGAUUGGACGGAAAGACCCCGUAGAGCUUUACUGUAGCUUAGCAUUGAGUUUUGGUAUUGUCUGUACAGGAUAGGUGGGAGACUAGGAAACCAGGGCGUCAGCCUUGGUGGAGUCAACCUUGGGAUACCACCCUGACAGUACUGAAAUUCUAACUGGCGGCCAUGAAUCUGGUCACAGGACAUUGUUAGGUGGGCAGUUUGACUGGGGCGGUCGCCUCCUAAAAAGUAACGGAGGCGCCCAAAGGUUCCCUCAGAACGGUCGGAAAUCGUUCGAAGAGUGCAAAGGCAGAAGGGAGCCUGACUGCGACACCCACAAGUGGAGCAGGGACGAAAGUCGGGCUUAGUGAUCCGGUGGUACCUCGUGGGAGGGCCAUCGCUCAACGGAUAAAAGCUACCUCGGGGAUAACAGGCUGAUCUCCCCCAAGAGUCCACAUCGACGGGGAGGUUUGGCACCUCGAUGUCGGCUCGUCGCAUCCUGGGGCUGAAGUAGGUCCCAAGGGUUGGGCUGUUCGCCCAUUAAAGCGGCACGCGAGCUGGGUUCAGAACGUCGUGAGACAGUUCGGUCCCUAUCCGUCGCGGGCGUAGGAAAUUUGAGAGGAGCUGUCCUUAGUACGAGAGGACCGGGAUGGACUGACCUCUGGUGCACCAGUUGUUCCGCCAGGAGCAUGGCUGGGUAGCUAAGUCGGGAAGGGAUAAACGCUGAAAGCAUCUAAGCGUGAAGCCUCCCUCAAGA
rnacentral:rRNA from 1 species